GAAAAUGAUGAUAUUCGUUGUCGCCCCAGUCUUACAAGCAUCUUCUCUUUGAUGCUUGAUGGUGUUUGACAGUUCAUAUAUCUGAUUC
rfam:Populus trichocarpa isolate Nisqually-1 chromosome 1, whole genome shotgun sequence.